UGACCGCUGGCGGCGUGCCUACUACAUGCAAGUCGAGCGAACAGACGAGGAGCUUGCUCCUCUGACGUUAGCGGCGGACGGGUGAGUAACACGUGGAUAACCUACCUAUAAGACUGGGAUAACUUCGGGAAACCGGAGCUAAUACCGGAUAAUAUAUUGAACCGCAUGGUUCAAUAGUGAAAGACGGUUUUGCUGUCACUUAUAGAUGGAUCCGCGCCGCAUUAGCUAGUUGGUAAGGUAACGGCUUACCAAGGCAACGAUGCGUAGCCGACCUGAGAGGGUGAUCGGCCACACUGGAACUGAGACACGGUCCAGACUCCUACGGGAGGCAGCAGUAGGGAAUCUUCCGCAAUGGGCGAAAGCUUGACGGAGCAACGCCGCGUGAGUGAUGAAGGUCUUCGGAUCGUAAAACUCUGUUAUUAGGGAAGAACAAAUGUGUAAGUAACUAUGCACGUCUUGACGGUACCUAAUCAGAAAGCCACGGCUAACUACGUG
rnacentral:rRNA from 1 species